rnacentral:rRNA from 1 species
UACGUAGGGAGCAAGCGUUGUUCGGAUUUACUGGGCGUAAAGGGCGCGUAGGCGGCAAUUCAAGUCAUCUGUGAAAUCUCCGGGCUUAACUCGGAACGGUCAGAUGAUACUGCUUUGCUAGAGUACAGAAGGGGCAACUGGAAUUCUCGGUGUAGCGGUGAAAUGCGUAGAUAUCGAGAGGAACACCUGCGGCGAAGGCGGGUUGCUGGGCUGAUACUGACGCUGGAGGCGCGAAAGCCAGGGGAGCGAACGGG